rnacentral:piRNA from 1 species
UCAUAAGAGCAUCGACAAUUCUGAAUCUUA